rnacentral:misc_RNA from 1 species
GAUGAAGAACGCAGCGAAAUGCCAUAAGUAGUGUGAAUUGCAGAAUUCAGUGAAUCAUCGAAUCUUUGAACGCACAUUGCGCCCCUCGGUAUUCCGUGGGGCAUGCCUGUUCGAGCGUCAUUUACCCCUCAAGCACUGCUUGGUGUUGGGCGUCUGUCCCGCUUCGCGCGCGGACUCGCCCCAAAGGUAUUGGCAGCGGUCGUGCCAGCUUCUCGCGCAGCACAUUGCGCUUCUCGAGGCGGUCGAUCGGCGUCCACGAAGCUCACCUCCACCGUUUGACCUCGGAUCAGGUAGGGAUACCCGCUGAACUUAAGCAUAUCAAUAAGCGGAGGA